rnacentral:lncRNA from 1 species
AUUCCGCCUUUAAUUGUUAAUUGCAUGCCACAGAUGUUGCUCAAAUGAACAUGUUUUUCACAAAAUUUCCUUCAAUAUGCAUCCUUCGAUGUUGCUAGAUUCAAAUUUCGAAAAUCAAUGCAAAUGCAUGAUGUGAUAAAAGUUAAGCACACAAAUUAAACCCUCUUUUGACAGUUGUAGUAUAUGUAUAAGUAGGGAUCGUUCUGGACCAGGGAUUAGGAGGGAUUGCCAAUCUAAUUGAAACUGACUUAAAAACACAAAAAUAAACUUAAAAACACUUAACAAGACUCACAAGACUCAAAACAAACUUAAAAGACUCAAAACAGCACAAAACAACCAAAUAGACUCAAAACUGACUCUAGGGAGUUAUUUGGACGAAAAUUGGUUUAAACUUGACUCAAGACACUUAAAAACACAAACCAAAACAGAUUUUAACUAAUCUAACACUUCAAAGUAAAAGGGGAUUGGGUUUUGAACGAAAAUAAAGUAAAACAAACAAAUUAAAGACUAAAACAGAUUUUGGACGAAAUUGGGAAAUUGGAUGGGUGAUGGUCUAGCUAGAAGGUCCUUCUCCACACAUGACACACUUGCGUACAAAUCAAUCUCCAAUUGCUUUUCAAUAAACCAUGAACCUCAACGCCCCAGAUUAACCGUGAAUUGCACUAAUUAACCCUCAGAUUUUCCUAAUUUCAUUGAAUUGGAUGAUUGCAUACAACAAUCCAAACCAUUCCCCACAAGUUCCCUACAUGAAUUGCAUAAUAGAGAUACAAGCAAAGAUCAUUAAGUUCUAUGAAAAUCAUAAGCAUUGACGAGGCACUUGUAACUAUGAAUUGCAUGAAACUUAUGCCAAGAAUUCACUAAACACGAUCGUGACAAGCAACCUUCACUACUUGUGAAUAUAAGUUCAUAACGAUUAGGUGAAAAUCCUUUAUAUUCUAGCAUCAAAUUCAUGCAUGCAAACUAAGUUGGCCACCUUAAUAACCAUACAAGAAUAAGUUUUGAAUAAAACAGUUAAGCGAAUUGCAUUCACAAUUUAUCAAAUCGCAAUUGAAAGUAAUCAAUUCAUAUUGCAAGUAUAAUCAUGGUUUCGAAUUCCCCUCUAACUAUAAAGAAAUUAGUUCCUCAUGUUCGCAAUUAAACAAAGAUAACUUGAAUUAAACAUUGAAAACAAAGAUAGAAUACACCUAGAAACACUCCAGAUGGCUCCUUCUUCUCCUUCCUUAGCUGCGGCACAAGAGGAUUGUGGUGGAUGGUGUGGUGGAUGGAUGUAGGUGAUUUAUGGUAGAGGGUGGUGGAUUAAUUGCUGCACAAAGGUUUGUAUUUAUAGGGCUAGAGAAACCCACGAAUUUAUGAAGGAAAGGAAUGUGUAUUUGGCACAAUUCAUGAAGGAAAAGGACUAAGGUUCACCAAAAUCUGAAGGGAAAAGGAUUGCACAAUCUAAGGGAAAAGGAUUGCAGGUUCUAAGGCUUCUAGAAAGGGUCUAGGCGCCAGAUUUUUAGGUGCUUCUAGAAAAGAUGUUUUAGCACCAAUUUAGGGGUUCUAGAGGGAUAAAGGUUCUAGAAUAUGAAAUAUAGUUUAAAUGCAUAAUUAUCCCUUAGAGAUAGCUGGAAUUAAGGCACAAAUUGAUUUGAAUAAGAUAGGAUAAGAUAAGUUUAGGUUAGGCAAGGAUAAGAUAAGAUAAGGUUGGAUAAGGUUUUAGAUAAUGUUCCUUCUUUUGAGCUGAUUUCUUAUCUUCCUUGACUUGGAUUUAUUUCUUCACUCUUUUCAGUACAUUCCUAGCCUCUUGAACUUCAAAUUCGUCCAUCCAUCUUGCUCCAUUCAUAAGCUAUCCAUUUGGUGCCCAAAACUACCUAAAAAUGCUCCAAAAUGCACUUUCUUGCCAACUUUGUCAUAUGGACCUACAAACACACGAAAAUAGCUUAAAACACUAUAAUAAACACAAACAAACUAUGAAAAUGCAAGAAAACAAGCUAACUAAGUCGCAUAAAUAUGCUCCUAUCAAUGCGUAGAGCCCUAUUUUUCUUUAGCACCGGUACGAUAUUUGCCAACCAUUCGACGAAACGAGCAGUUCGGAUAAACCCGGCAUUUAACAGUCGAACAAUUUCAUCUUUUAUGCCGAGCUGUACUUCGGUCAAGAAUCGUCGAGGAGGUUGUCGAAAAGGCUUGCAACCAGGUUUGAUACGUAAUUCAUGUUCAACAAGGGUCCGAUCGAGACCCAAUAUCUCAUGAUAACUCUAAGCAAAACAAUCUUUAAACUCGUGAAGUAAUUGAUGGAGUUCAACUUUCAUGGCAUGGGGUAAUAAUGCACUAAUAAAUAAUGGCCGAGGAUCAUCGCCCGUUCCAACAUUUAUUUCCUCUAGAAGAUCCUUAACUUAGGGUCGGCUAUCGUCAAGGUCGGCCGGUGCGGCCUGAACUUUAUCCAACGAUAGGACCGGGCCAUUAUCCUUUUCGGCCAAAAAUUCGAUUAAGUGGAAGCCCGAAUGUGGGUGCUUGGAAAUAGCAUACCAAUGGGCUAAUAGGCGUUCCAUCGUGGAUGAAACCGCGGCCCGACGCUUCUCAUUUUGGAUGUCAAUCAUCAGUGGUGAGGAGUAAAUUGGCCAAACCGAGUCUCGCCGAAUCCUGGUGGACAG